rnacentral:rRNA from 1 species
AGUUUGAUCCUGGCUCAGGAUGAACGUUGGCGGCGUGUCUAAGAUAUGUAAGUCGAGCGGUUUGCUUUUUGCAAACAGCGGCGGACGGCUGAGUAACACGUACGAACUUGCCCCUUUCUUGAAGAUACCUCAUCGAAAGAUGAGCUAAUACUCAAUAGUUCCUUUUUUAACAAGGGUAAAGGGCGUAACUGCUCGGAAAGGGAGAGGCGUGCGGACUAUCAGGUUGUUGGUGGGGUAAUGGCCUACCAAGCCUAUGACGGUUAGCCGAUCUGAUAAGGAUGUUCGGCCAGAGGAGCACUGAGACACGGGCUCCACACCUACGGGUGGCAGCAAUCGAGAAUAGUUGGCAAUGGGCGAAAGCUGACCACGCGACGCCGCGUGCGGGAAGAAGCUCUAACGAGUGUAAACCGCUGUGGUAAGGGAAGAAACUCUGCUUUUGCGGASUGACGGUACCUUACUAGAAAGUGACUGCUAACUGCGUGCCAGCAGCAGCGGUAAUACGUGGGUCACAAACGUUAUCCGAUGUUACUUGGCGUAAAGAGUGUGUAGGCGGUCUACUAAGUUGCUUCUUAAAGCCCUCUGCUCACCAGAGGAAAGGGAAGUAAGACUGGUUGUACUAGAGUUAUCUUUAGGGAAAUCGGAAUUUACGGAGGAGUAGUGAAAUGCGUUGAUACCGUAAAGAACACCAAUGGCGAAGGCAGAUUUCUGGAAGGUAACUGACGCUGAGACACGAAAGCUAGGGGAGCGAACCGGAUUAGAGACCCGGGUAGUCCUAGCUGUAAACGAUGCUCGCUAGUUGCAUGAGUUUCGAUUUUUCGAAAUUUGUGUGGGCGAACUAACGCGUUAAGCGAGCCGCCUGGGAAGUACGGUCGCAAGGCUGAAACUCAAAGGAAUUGGCGGGGAGACACACAACUAGUGGAUCAUGUGGUUUAAUUCGAUACAAACCGAAGCACCUCACCAGGGUUUGACAUUCUGAUAAAAGUCAUAGAAAUAUGAUGUUCAGUUUUCUAAAUUGAUAUCAGAACAGCUGCUGCAUGGCUGUCGUCAGUUCGUUCCGUGAGGAGUGCCCUUAAGUGGGACAACGAACGCAACCUUCGCCCCGAGUUACAAGUGUCUCGGGGGACUGCCUUGCAACUUAUGCGGGGAGGAAGGAGAAGCGGACGUCAAGUCAGCAUGGCGCUUAUGCCCUGGGCGACACACAUGAUACAAUGAGCCAUAACAAAGGGUCGCGAACCGGCAACGGCAAGCAAAUCCCAUAAAUUGGCUCUCAGUGGGGAUWGAGGUCUGAAACCCGACCUCAUGAACGAGGAAUUAGUAGUAAUCGCAGGUCAGCUAUACUGCGGUGAAUACGUUCUUGUCUCUUGCACACACUGCCCGUCAAGCCAACAAAGUUGGGGGUACCUGAAGACUCCAAGAUAAUUGGGGGCGAGGGUAAACUCAGCGAUGGGGGCUAAGUCGUAACAAGGUAGCCG